AUUGAACGCUGGCGGCAUGCUUUCACAUGCAAGUCGAACGGCAGCGCGGGGCAACCUGGCGGCGAGUGGCGAACGGGUGAGUAAUAUAUCGGAACGUACCCAAGAGUGGGGGAUAACGUAGCGAAAGUUACGCUAAUACCGCAUACGAUCUACGGAUGAAAGUGGGGGAUCGCAAGACCUCAUGCUCCUGGAGCGGCCGAUAUCUGAUUAGCUAGUUGGUGAGGUAAAGGCUCACCAAGGCGACGAUCAGUAGCUGGUCUGAGAGGACGACCAGCCACACUGGAACUGAGACACGGUCCAGACUCCUACGGGAGGCAGCAGUGGGGAAUUUUGGACAAUGGGCGCAAGCCUGAUCCAGCAAUGCCGCGUGAGUGAAGAAGGCCUUCGGGUUGUAAAGCUCUUUUGUCAGGGAAGAAACGGUAGAGGCUAAUAUCCUUUGCUAAUGACGGUACCUGAAGAAUAGGCACCGGCUAACUACGUGCCAGCAGCCGCGGUAAUACGUAGGGUGCAAGCGUUAAUCGGAAUUACUGGGCGUAAAGCGUGCGCAGGCGGUUUUGUAAGUCUGUCGUGAAAGCCCCGGGCUCAACCUGGGAAUUGCGAUGGAGACUGCAAGGCUUGAAUCUGGCAGAGGGGGGUAGAAUUCCACGUGUAGCAGUGAAAUGCGUAGAGAUGUGGAGGAACACCGAUGGCGAAGGCAGCCCCCUGGGUCAAGAUUGACGCUCAUGCACGAAAGCGUGGGGAGCAAACAGGAUUAGAUACCCUGGUAGUCCACGCCCUAAACGAUGUCUACUAGUUGUCGGGUUUUAAUUAACUUGGUAACGCAGCUAACGCGUGAAGUAGACCGCCUGGGGAGUACGGUCGCAAGAUUAAAACUCAAAGGAAUUGACGGGGACCCGCACAAGCGGUGGACGAUGUGGAUUAAUUCGAUGCAACGCGAAAAACCUUACCUACCCUUGACAUGUCAGGAAGUCCGGAGAGAUCUGGAUGUGCCCGAAAGGGAACCUGAACACAGGUGCUGCAUGGCUGUCGUCAGCUCGUGUCGUGAGAUGUUGGGUUAAGUCCCGCAACGAGCGCAACCCUUGUCAUUAGUUGCUACGCAAGAGCACUCUAAUGAGACUGCCGGUGACAAACCGGAGGAAGGUGGGGAUGACGUCAAGUCCUCAUGGCCCUUAUGGGUAGGGCUUCACACGUCAUACAAUGGUACAUACAGAGGGCCGCCAACCCGCGAGGGGGAGCUAAUCCCAGAAAGUGUAUCGUAGUCCGGAUCGCAGUCUGCAACUCGACUGCGUGAAGUUGGAAUCGCUAGUAAUCGCGGAUCAGCAUGUCGCGGUGAAUACGUUCCCGGGUCU
rnacentral:rRNA from 1 species